ACCAGAUGACGAGUUCCAAAUAGGACGAAACGCGCUUCCUAGAU
rnacentral:hammerhead_ribozyme from 1 species